rnacentral:rRNA from 1 species
GAAUAAGNGCUGGGCAAGACCGGUGCCAGCCGCCGCGGUAAUACCGGCAGCUCGAGUGAUGACCGAUUUUAUUGGGCCUAAAGCGUCCGUAGCUGGCCGUGCAAGUCCAUCGGGAAAUCUGCCCGCUNAACGGGNAGGCGUCCGGUGGAANCUGCAUGGCUUGGGACCGGAAGNCCUGACGGGUACGUCNGGGGUAGGAGUGAAAUCCUGUAAUCCUGGACGGACCNCCGAUGGNGAAANCACCUCUNGAAGACGGAUCCGACNGUGAGGGACGAAAGCUNGGGUCUCGAACCGGAUUAGAUACCCGGGUAGUCCUAGCNGUAAACGAUGNCUGUUAGNUGUGACUCCCNCUACGAGUGNGUGUUGUGNCGUAGGGAAGCCGNUAAACAGACCGCCUGGGAAGUACGUCCGCAAGGAUGAAACUUAAAGGAAUUGGGGGGGGANCCACAA